AAGGCCUUAAGUUAAAUAAACUAAUAUCCUUCAAAGCUAUAAAUAAAGGGCUGCCUUUAGGCCUUG
rnacentral:tRNA from 6 species